rnacentral:lncRNA from 1 species
AAGAAUUGUUUGGGCUGUCAUAUUUGUUGUGAGUGUCGUUGAGCCGGGUAGCAUAAGGCCUAGUCUCUAGGUAGUGAAAUCGUGGGUUGUGGGCUGCGAUAAUAUCGGGUAGUGGAAAGGGGUCUCACUGUAUCCAUCGACUAAUAACCCCACAUAAGUUGAAAGGGAAGUUUAAUCGAAAAAAAAACAAAAAAAAAACAAACGGCAUCAGUUGCCUGGGAAAACC